AGUGAACGCUGGCGGUAGGCCUAACACAUGCAAGUCGAACGGCAGCACAGUAAGAGCUUGCUCUUACGGGUGGCGAGUGGCGGACGGGUGAGGAAUACAUCGGAAUCUACUUUUUCGUGGGGGAUAACGUAGGGAAACUUACGCUAAUACCGCAUACGACCUACGGGUGAAAGCAGGGGAUCUUCGGACCUUGCGCGAUUGAAUGAGCCGAUGUCGGAUUAGCUAGUUGGCGGGGUAAAGGCCCACCAAGGCGACGAUCCGUAGCUGGUCUGAGAGGAUGGACCGCCCACCUUGAACUUGAACAAGGGCCAGACCCCUACGGGGAGCAGGAGUGGGGAAUAUUGGACAAUGGGCGCAAGCCUGAUCCAGCCAUACCGCGUGGGUGAAGAAGGCCUUCGGGUUGUAAAGCCCUUUUGUUGGGAAAGAAAAGCAGCAGGUUAAUACCCCGCUGUUCUGACGGUACCCAAAGAAUAAGCACCGGCUAACUUCGUG
rnacentral:rRNA from 1 species